rnacentral:ncRNA from 2 species
UUUCAGCAUCAAGAGUUGGGUCGACGCCCGACGCCAACCUGCCGAUCCGGGCAAGGUGGCACUCCGCAAGGAGGAUGUGGCCGACCCGGCAAGAAACGGAUCAAGC